rnacentral:rRNA from 1 species
UGGGGAAUUUUGGACAAUGGGCGAAAGCCUGAUCCAGCAAUGCCGCGUGUGUGAAGAAGGCCUUCGGGUUGUAAAGCACUUUUGUCCGGAAAGAAAUCCUUGGCUCUAAUACAGUCGGGGGAUGACGGUACCGGAAGAAUAAGCACCGGCUAACUACGUGCCAGCAGCCGCGGUAAUACGUAGGGUGCAAGCGUUAAUCGGAAUUACUGGGCGUAAAGCGUGCGCAGGCGGUUUGCUAAGACCGAUGUGAAAUCCCCGGGCUCAACCUGGGAACUGCAUUGGUGACUGGCAGGCUAGAGUAUGGCAGAGGGGGGUAGAAUUCCACGUGUAGCAGUGAAAUGCGUAGAGAUGUGGAGGAAUACCGAUGGCGAAGGCAGCCCCCUGGGCCAAUACUGACGCUCAUGCACGAAAGCGUGGGGAGCAAACAGGAUUAGAUACCCUGGUAGUCCACGCCCUAAACGAUGUCAACUAGUUGUUGGGGAUUCAUUUCCUUAGUAACGUAGCUAACGCGUGAAGUUGACCGCCUGGUGAGUACGGUCGCAAGAUUAAAACUCAAAUGAAUUGACGGGGUCAUAGCUGUUUCCU